rnacentral:rRNA from 1 species
GACGAACGCUGGCGGCGUGCUUAACACAUGCAAGUCGAACGGAAAGGCCCUGCUUUUGUGGGGUGCUCGAGUGGCGAACGGGUGAGUAACACGUGAGUAACCUGCCCUUGACUUUGGGAUAACUUCAGGAAACUGGGGCUAAUACCGGAUAGGAGCUCCUGCUGCAUGGUGGGGGUUGGAAAGUUUCGGUGGUUGGGGAUGGACUCGCGGCUUAUCAGCUUGUUGGUGGGGUAGUGGCUUACCAAGGCUUUGACGGGUAGCCGGCCUGAGAGGGUGACCGGCCACAAUGGGACUGAGAUACGGCGCAGUCUCCUACGGGAGGCAGCGGUGGGGAAUAUUGCACAGUGGGCGGAAGCCUGAUGCAGCAACGCCGCGUGCGGGAUGACGGCCUUCGGGUUGUAAACCGCUUUCGCCUGUGACGAAGCGUGAGUGACGGUAAUGGGUAAAGAAGCACCGGCUAACUACGUG